GACCUAACAAGAUAUGAGUAUACCAAAGGAUGCGUGUAUGUUGGGAAAGAAAAUGACUGGUUCAGCAAAUAGACACUUUUCAAGAAAAUAUGUUGACUUCCUUAAAAAAAAAUGGCACGUUAGCAAAUCCUUGUGAGUGAACCCACUGACUCCACCCUGAAGUAACUGAGAGUGUGCAGGUUUUCUCCAGACAUCAAGACUGAUCUCUGGGUCAUGUGCU
rnacentral:lncRNA from 1 species